UACAGAGGUGGCAAGCGUUGUUCGGAAUUACUGGGCGUAAAGGGCGCGUAGGCGGCCAUCUAAGUCAGACGUGAAAUCCCCCGGCUUAACCUGGGAACUGCGUCUGAUACUGGACGGCUUGAGUAUGGGAGAGGGAUGUAGAAUUCCAGGUGUAGCGGUGAAAUGCGUAGAUAUCUGGAGGAAUACCGGUGGCGAAGGCGGCAUCCUGGACCAAUACUGACGCUGAGGCGCGAAAGCUAGGGGAGCAAACGGG
rnacentral:rRNA from 1 species